rnacentral:tRNA from 1 species
ACUGUGGUGGUCUAGUGGUUAAGAUUCAGUACUCCUGCUUCUGUGGCCUGGGUUCGUUUCCCGAUUACGGAA